CCUACGGGCGGCAGCAGUGAGGAAUAUUGGUCAAUGGACGAGAGUCUGAACCAGCCAAGUAGCGUGAAGGAUGACUGCCCUAUGUGUUGUAAACUUCUUUUAUAUGGGAAUAAAACGUUCCACGUGUGGGAUUUUGUAUGUACCAUAUGAAUAAGGAUCGGCUAACUCCGUGCCAGCAGCCGCGGUAAUACGGAGGAUCCGAGCGUUAUCCGGAUUUAUUGGGUUUAAAGGGAGCGUAGGUGGAUUGUUAAGUCAGUUGUGAAAGUUUGCGGCUCAACCGUAAAAUUGCAGUUGAAACUGGCAGUCUUGAGUACAGUAGAGGUGGGCGGAAUUCGUGGUGUAGCGGUGAAAUGCUUAGAUAUCACGAAGAACUCCGAUUGCGAAGGCAGUUCACUGGACUGCAACUGACACUGAGGCUCGAAAGUGUGGGUAUCAAACAGGAUUAGAUACCCUUGUAGUC
rnacentral:rRNA from 1 species